rnacentral:rRNA from 1 species
GACGAACGCUGGCGGCGUGCUUAACACAUGCAGGUCGAACGGUAAGGCCCUUCGGGGUACACGAGUGGCGAACGGGUGAGUAACACGUGGGUGAUCUGCCCUGCACUUCGGGAUAAGCCUGGGAAACUGGGUCUAAUACCGGAUAGGACACUGCCUGCAUGGGUGGUGGUGGAAAGCUUUUGCGGUGUGGGAUGGGCCCGCGGCCUAUCAGCUUGUUGGUGGGGUGAUGGCCUACCAAGGCGACGACGGGGAGCCGGCCUGAGAGGGUGGCCGGCCACACGGGGACUGAGAUACGGCCCAGACUCCUACGGGAGGCAGCAGUGGGGAAUAUUGCACAAUGGGCGCAAGCCUGAUGCAGCGACGCCGCGUGAGGGAUGACGGCCUUCGGGUUGUAAACCUCUUUCAGCACCGACGAAGCGCAAGUGACGGUAGGUGCAGAGGAAGGACCGGCCAACUACGUGCCAGCCGCCGCGGUAA